GAAGCUUGCUUCUCUUGAGAGCGGCGGACGGGUGAGUAAUGCCUAGGAAUCUGCCUGGUAGUGGGGGAUAACGUUCGGAAACGGACGCUAAUACCGCAUACGUCCUACGGGAGAAAGCAGGGGACCUUCGGGCCUUGCGCUAUCAGAUGAGCCUAGGUCGGAUUAGCUAGUUGGUGAGGUAAUGGCUCACCAAGGCGACGAUCCGUAACUGGUCUGAGAGGAUGAUCAGUCACACUGGAACUGAGACACGGUCCAGACUCCUACGGGAGGCAGCAGUGGGGAAUAUUGGACAAUGGGCGAAAGCCUGAUCCAGCCAUGCCGCGUGUGUGAAGAAGGUCUUCGGAUUGUAAAGCACUUUAAGUUGGGAGGAAGGGUUGUAGAUUAAUACUCUGCAAUUUUGACGUUACCGACAGAAUAAGCACCGGCUAACUCUGUGCCAGCAGCCGCGGUAAUACAGAGGGUGCAAGCGUUAAUCGGAAUUACUGGGCGUAAAGCGCGCGUAGGUGGUUUGUUAAGUUGGAUGUGAAAUCCCCGGGCUCAACCUGGGAACUGCAUUCAAAACUGACUGACUAGAGUAUGGUAGAGGGUGGUGGAAUUUCCUGUGUAGCGGUGAAAUGCGUAGAUAUAGGAAGGAACACCAGUGGCGAAGGCGACCACCUGGACUAAUACUGACACUGAGGUGCGAAAGCGU
rnacentral:rRNA from 1 species